rnacentral:snRNA from 1 species
CUUGGAGCUCUCGAUUCCU